GUUUUCCCAAAGGUGUCUGCAGCAUUGUGACGUAUUUGUAGGCAUAUCAUUGGAAGAUUGACCAUAAGAGACUACAUUUACCAGGUGGUCGCUUGGUGUCCUCCGUCGCAAUUAUUGCGUAAUCUCCAGCUGCAGUAUUUUUCCGUUUGUCUCUGAUGACAAACCGACUGCCAGGAAUGAUUUUUCAUCUAAUAGAAUUGUGAAAAACACCUUGAGGAUUGAUUCUAAACAACGUUUGCCAUGUUUCUGUCAAUAUUAUGGAGCUAAUUUGGAAAAAAGUUUGGCGUUGUAAGUGACUGCAUUUUCGUUUUUUUUUUCCUUAGCCAAACGUGAUGAACAAAACGGAGCUAUUUCUCUUACACAAAUAAUCUUUUUGGAAAAAAUGAACAUUUGCUAUGUAUCUGAGAGUCUCGUCAUUGAAAACAUCCAAAGUUCUUCAAAGGUGGCAGACAUCUCAGCUCGGAUGUUGGCCCACCACCUCAAGCUCAAACUCAACAUGACGGAGCUGCACUUCCUCCCGGGGAAAGCCUAUCUGCUCCAAGACCUCUCCAACAAGGUAGACAACUACACGGCGUCCCCCUCCCAGAGUGAAAAGAACCUUGACGUGACCCUGGACAACACCCUGUCAUUCUCUGC
ensembl:lncRNA